CAGCCGCCACGGUAAUACGAAGGGGGCUAGCGUUGUUCGGAUUUACUGGGCGUAAAGCGCACGUAGGCGGACGCUUAAGUCAGGGGUGAAACCCCGAGGCUCAACCUCGGAACUGCCUUUGAUACUGGGUGUCUUGAGUCCGGGAGAGGUGAGUGGAACUGCGAGUGUAGAGGUGAAAUUCGUAGAUAUUCGCAAGAACACCAGUGGCGAAGGCGGCUCACUGGCCCGGAACUGACGCUGAGGUGCGAAAGCGUGGGAAGCAAACAGGAUUAGAUACCCCCGUAGUCCCUGUCUCUUAUAC
rnacentral:rRNA from 1 species